CCGGCGACCGGCGCACGGGUGAGUAACACGUAUGCAACCUGCCCGUCUCAGGGGGAUAAUCGUCGGAAACGGCGUCUAAUACCCCGUAUGAAGCUGGACGGCAUCGUUUGGUUUUGAAAGAAUAUCGGAGACGGAUGGGCAUGCGGCGCAUUAGCUAGUUGGCGGGGUAACGGCCCACCAAGGCGACGAUGCGUAGGGGUUCUGAGAGGAAGGUCCCCCACACUGGUACUGAGACACGGACCAGACUCCUACGGGAGGCAGCAG
rnacentral:rRNA from 1 species